rnacentral:rRNA from 1 species
GACGAACGAUGGCGGCGUGCUUAACACAUGCAAGUCGAACGGAGUGGCGAACGGGUGAGUAAUACGUGAGUAACCUGCCUUCUUCUUUGGGAUAAGCCUGGGAAACUGGGUCUAAUACUGGAUAGUGGGGGAUGGGCUCACGGCCUAUCAGCUUGUUGGUGGGGUGGUGGCCUACCAAGGCGGUGACGGGUAGCCGGCCUGAGCGGGUGACCGGCCACAUUGGGACUGAGAUACGGCGCAGACUCCUACGGGGGGCAGCAGUGGGGAGUAUUGAACAAUGGACGGAAGUCGGAGGCUGCGACGCCGCGUGGGGGAUGAAGGAUUUCGGGUUGUAAACUCAUGUGGAUGCUGAACGGGUAGUGGGUAAAGAAGCGCCGGCUAACUACGUGCCAGCAGCCGCGGUAAUAC